CCUACGGGAGGCAGCAGUAAGGAAUAUUGGUCAAUGGACGAAAGUCUGAACCAGCCAUGCCGCGUGAAGGAUGACGGCCCUCUGGGUUGUAAACUUCUUUUAUAGGGGACGAAAAAAGGGUAUUCUUACUCACUUGACGGUACCCUAGGAAUAAGCACCGGCUAACUCCGUGCCAGCAGCCGCGGUAAUACGGAGGGUGCAAGCGUUAUCCGGAUUCACUGGGUUUAAAGGGUGCGUAGGUGGGUCUAUAAGUCAGUGGUGAAAUCUCCGAGCUUAACUCGGAAACUGCCAUUGAUACUAUAGGCCUUGAAUUAUCUGGAGGUAAGCGGAAUAUGUCAUGUAGCGGUGAAAUGCUUAGAUAUGACAUAGAACACCAAUUGCGAAGGCAGCUUACUACGGAUAUAUUGACACUGAGGCACGAAAGCGUGGGGAUCAAACAGGAUUAGAUACCCUGUAGUCCACGCCCUAAACUAUGGAUACUCGACAUCAGCGAUACACUGUUGUGUCUGAGCGAAAGCAUUAAGUAUCCCACCUGGGAAGUACGACCGCAAGGUUGAAACGUUAAAGGAAUUGACGG
rnacentral:rRNA from 1 species